AUCAAUAAGUGAGUUUGACCGUCAGACUGCCGGAGCCAGGCCACAUCUCGGUCGUGGAUCGCUCGAUCUUCUGCUGCAGCAGCGUCCUCUCCUGUCCAAUCACAGCGCAGCAGGUCAGUGACAUCAUCAACAUUCACUCUGAGUACUUAUACACACACUGUAGCUACACACUGUACUACACACUGUACUACACACUAUUACUACACACUGUAACACACUGUACACACACACACUAAUACACAGACUUGACGCAUUGAGCGUAUCUUAGUCAGGUUACAAUCCCCACCAUCAAUUCUAAGGUGGAGCUUCUAAUUGGCACAGAUGCUCCAAACUUACUAGAGCCAUGGGAGGUUAUUAACAGUCAAAAUGGGGGUCCCUAAGCUGUUAAAACACUGUUGGGGUGGGUUGUAAAUGGGCCACUGAGAAGUGCUGCCGGCUGUGUAGACAGGGUGACUGUGAACAGGAUUUCAGUGGUGAAUCUGGAAAGGAUGCUGAUAUCACAGUAUAGCCAGGAUUUCAAUGAAGUUGCUUCGGAGGAAAAGACUGAAAUGUCAAUUGAGGACAAAAGAUUUUUGAAAAUAGCUAAUGAAGCACUUUUGAAAGAUGGACAUUACAGUCUGAAACUGCCCUUUAGAAACUCUGAUGUGAAAGUCCAGAGUCCACCCGCUAAAGACCAUCACAGUUCCGAGGCUGGAGCUUGCUGCUGCUGCGCUGCUGGUGAGGGUAGACAGAAUGCUGAGGAGAGAAUUGCACUUGGGUUUAAAGCCCUCAGUUUUCUGGACUGAUAGCCAAACAGUCUCUAAAUAUAUUGCAAAUGACCGUGCAAGAUUUAAGACUUAUGUCGCAAACAGGGUCUCUAUGAUUAGAGACAACACAGAGCUGUCUCAAUGGAGAUAUGUAAGCAGCAAAGACAAUCCUGCUGAUGACUGCUCAAGAGGGUUGAGUGCAAGAAAAUUCAUGGAGCAGAAAAGGUGGAUUCAUGCUCCUGAAUUCCUGAGGAAGCCAAAAGAAGGUUGGCCAGUGGCGGGAGCAUUGGGCCCAGUGUUUCAGGAUGAUCCAGAGGUCAGGAAAGGCACUGCUAUGUUUACAGCAGUGGUAAAAACUGAAACACCCACUGACCAGCUUAUCUCAUUCUUUUCAAACUGGAUGAAAUUACUCAAGGCAGUGGCAUGGUACCUUAGAGUAAAAUACAUGUUGAUGCUGAGUAUGAAGAUAAAAAGGGGAAAGCCACUCCCCUCACCUCGAAUCAACACCCGCUCAAAUAAGGAAAAGAUGAAGAUCAAGUCUAUUGAUUUCAGGACCAACACUGGUGGACAGCUCCUCUCUGUGAAAGAUCUUACAGAGGCCGAAAGGUCAGUCAUCUCCUACGUCCAGCAGCAGGCAUUCCCUGUAGAAAUGACAACACUGGCAUUGUCACCACCCAGAGUGCACAGGAGCAGCAGUCUCUGCCGGCUCGACCCCGUAUUGGACGAGGGCAUUCUAAGAGUGGGUGGCCGUCUGCAUAAAUCUGCAAUGCCUGAAGAAACCAAACACCCCUGCAUCUUGCCCAAAGACUCACACAUCUCAAUCCUUCUCACCAGACAUGUCCAUGAGCGCAGUGGUCACAGUGGAAGAAACCACAUGCUUUCAGAGCUCCGCAAAAAAUACUGGAUUGUAAAGGCAAACUCAGUAGCAAGAAAGGUGCUCUCCAGAUGUGUCAUGUGUCGGCGUGUGAGAGGCAUAGCAGGUGAACAAAAGAUGGCGGACUUGCCGAUGGAAAGAAUCCUGCCCGACCUCCCUCCCUUUACCAAUGUUGGCUUGGACUACUUUGGCUCAAUUGAAGUGAAACGAGGAAGGGGCACUAUCAAAAGGUAUGGUGUUCUUUUCACUUGUAUGUCCAGUAGAGCCAUUCACUUAGAGGUUGCCUACACGUUGGACACUGACUCAUGCAUACAUGCUUUGAGGAGAUUUGUCUGCAGGAGGGGUCAAGUUAAGCACAUCAGGUCUGACAAUGGGACAAACCUGGUGGGCGCUCAGGCUGAGCUGAAGAAGGCCCUGAUGUCACUGAACCAGAGGAGGAUCCAGGAUGCCCUGUUAACUGAUGAAAUAGAAUGGAGUUUCAACCCGCCAGCCGCAUCACACCAUGGCAGAGUCGGGGAAAGGCUCAUACGCUCCGUCCGGCAGGUNNNNNNNNNNNNNNNNNNNNNNNNNNNNNNNNNNNNNNNN
rnacentral:lncRNA from 15 species